AACUUACUUACAAAACAGAGACAGAUUCACAGACAUAGAAAACAAACUUACUUAUUGUUACCAAGGCAGAAAGGGGUGCAGAGGGAUAAAUUAGGGAAUUGGG